GGAAGAUUGGCCCGAGUUGGUUUAAGGCACCGGUCUUGAAAACCGGCGAUCGUAGGAAUACGGUCCAUCCGUUCGAAUCGGAUAUCUUCCU
rfam:Aeromonas salmonicida bacteriophage 25, complete genome.